UACGAAGGGGGCUAGCGUUGCUCGGAAUCACUGGGCGUAAAGGGCUCGUAGGCGGGUCUUUAAGUCAGGGGUGAAAUCCUGGAGCUCAACUCCAGAACUGCCUUUGAUACUGAGGAUCUUGAGUUCGGGAGAGGUGAGUGGAACUGCGAGUGUAGAGGUGAAAUUCGUAGAUAUUCGCAAGAACACCAGUGGCGAAGGCGGCUCACUGGCCCGAUACUGACGCUGAGGCACGAAAGCGUGGGGAGCAAACAGG
rnacentral:rRNA from 1 species